rnacentral:rRNA from 1 species
UGAGGAACAUGACCUUCGGCGGGGGAUAGCCGGCCCAACGGCCGGGUAAUACCGCGUACGACCACUUUGGGACAUCCCUCGGUGGUGAAAGCAGCAAUGCGCCGAUGGAGUGCCUCGCGGCCUAUCAGCUAGUUGGUGAGGUAACGGCUCACCAAGGCGACGACGGGUAGCUGGUCUGAGAGGAUGGCCAGCCACAUUGGGACUGGGACACGGCCCAGACUCCUACGGGAGGNAG